GGAAGUGUUGAGCAAUUGGUUGGCUCGCCAGACUGUAAAUCUGGUCCUUAUUAGGCGUGUAGGUUCAAAUCCUACCACUUCCAC
rnacentral:tRNA from 1 species